rnacentral:lncRNA from 1 species
GUGACACACACACACAAUCACACACACACAGACACACACACACACACACACACACACACACAGCUGGUGACACACACACACAAUCACACACACACACACACACACACACACACACACACACACACACACAGCUGGUGACACACAUACACAAUCACACACACACAGACACACACACACACACACACACACACACAGCUGGUGACACACACACACAAUCACACACACACAGACACACACACACACACACAGCUGGUGACACACACACACACACACACACACAGACACACACACACACACACACACACACAGCUGGUGACACAUACACACACACACAUACACACACACACAAUCACACACACACACACACACACACACACACACACACACACACAGCAGCAAGAGCUUUAUAAUGGAUAAAAGUGUGCUGAAUACCUUUACCUAGUCAUAUCACUUUGUACCCUCUAAUGUUUUGUGUGUGUGUGUGCGUAUGUGUGUGUAUGUGUGUGUGUGUGUGUGUGUGUGUGUGUGUGUGCGUGGAGCAGGAAGGUAGUGUGGAGAAAAGGUGUGUGUCCUUACAGAAGAUCAGUGAGGUUCUGAAGACCAAUGAUGUGAACACACUAAAACUAGUCCUCAUCGAGAUCAUCAACGAGUGCCCUGGCAUCAGCGGUGAGGAACAGCUGAAUACCCUGCUGAGAUGGAAGGGCCAGUUGUCACGGCAACAGCAGACAGAAGUGAUGGAUGCAGUUGUGGAAUAUUGCCCCCGAUCCGCCCCCAAUGACUCACCUGCACACACUCUGGCUCCGCCUCCGGCUCCGCCUCUCCGUCCCGCCUCCAGGUGGUACCGCGCCAUGUCCUGCCUCAGGCCACCAAUCACAGACUGAGGUCCGCUCAGGCCACCAAUCACAGCCUGAGGUCUAUUCAGCCGACCAAUCACAGCCUGAGGUCUGCUCAGCCGACCAAUCACAGACUGAGGUCUAUUCAGCCGACCAAUCACAGCCUGAGGUCUGCUCAGCCGACCAAUCACAGCCUGAGGUCUAUUCAGCCGACCAAUCACAGCCUGAGGUCUGCUCAGCCGACCAAUCACAGCCUGAGGUCUGCUCAGCCGACCAAUCACAGCCUGGGGUUUGGCAAUGUUUAUGGUAGUGGGGUACUGUUUUCUUUCUGGGGUGCCAACUCAUUAUAAUUCAGUGAUGUGUAUGGGCCAUUCUACCGAAUUGGUGCAAAGUGUGGUCCCACAACAAUAAAAACUAUUUACAAAACA